rnacentral:pre_miRNA from 1 species
GCAUCAAAUCUGGUUUGUCAUAGAUUGCUUGAGUCCACUAUCACAGCCAGCUUUGAUGAGC